UAAAGAAUUUCGGUCAUCGAUGGGGAUGCGUUCCAUUAGCUUGUUGGCGGGGUAACGGCCCACCAAGGCAUCGAUGGAUAGGGGUUCUGAGAGGAAGGUCCCCCACAUUGGAACUGAGACACGGUCCAAACUCCUACGGGAGGCAGCAGUGAGGAAUAUUGGUCAAUGGGCGCUAGCCUGAACCAGCCAAGUAGCGUGAAGGAUGACUGCCCUGUGGGUUGUAAACUUCUUUUAUAUGGGAAUAAAGUGCAGUAUGUAUACUGCUUUGCAUGUACCUUAUGAAUAAGGAUCGGCUAACUCCGUGCCAGCAGCCGCGGUAAUACGGAGGAUCCGAGCGUUAUCCGGAUUUAUUGGGUUUAAAGGGAGCGUAGGCGGGUUGUUAAGUCAGUUGUGAAAGUUUGCGGCUCAACCGUAAAAUUGCAGUUGAUACUGGCAUCCUUGAGUACAGUAGAGGUAGGCGGAAUUCGUGGUGUAGCGGUGAAAUGCUUAGAUAUCACGAAGAACUCCGAUUGCGAAGGCAGCCUGCUGGACUGUAACUGACGCUGAUGCUCGAAAGUGUGGGUAUCAAACAGGAUUAGAUACCCUGGUAGUCCACACAGUAAACGAUGAAUACUCGCUGUUUGCGAUAUACAGUAA
rnacentral:rRNA from 1 species